rnacentral:lncRNA from 1 species
CUGACUUCUGUGGAGGAUGGCUUCCUAGACACAAUUAUGCAAGUGUCAUCCAUAAGGUCACUUAAAUGUACGACCAGUGGUGACUGCCACACUAUGAAAUGGUUCUCCUCUGUGAUGUCACACUGCCGUGACACCCUGCCUUGGAGCCAGAUGACUGUGGACCAAAACUUCUGCAAACUGUGAGCCAAAUAAGACUUCUUGAUAAGAACAGAUGUGCCAAACACAGCUCAUCUGCUUCAGAACCCAUGUCCAGAAAAAAAAAGAUCCUAGUUGCCAGAGGACAAGAUUGAAAGCAGUCAAAUUUGGCAGGCGGUUUUUGUCUCUCAGCAUCUUGGAGUUUGCUGGAGGAAACUAUUUUUCUUGUAGGAGAAGUUACUCCUGGAGGAGGUAUUGGCAUUCCAUCGACUAGGAAGAUACUCAAAGGUCGCUUAACUAAUGAAGUUAUACAUAAAGAACUGAAUAAGAAGUCUCAGCCCCUGAUCAGUUCUCAAGGUAUCAUUUUGGCUGGAAGUGCGCUGAAGAACUCCAAGAAAAUCACCAGGAAAAAACGUGAGCAGUGGAUAUAAUGCCCCUAUCCAAAUUAUAAAGUAGCAAGAUUACUUUU